rnacentral:rRNA from 1 species
GACGAACCGUGCGAACGUUGUUCGGAAUCACUGGGCUUAAAGGGCGCGUAGGCGGAUCAUCAAGUCCGGGGUGAAAUCUUUCGGCUUAACCGGAAAAGUGCCUUGGAUACUGGUGGUCUCGAGUGAGGUAGGGGCAUGUGGAACUUCUGGUGGAGCGGUGAAAUGCGUUGAUAUCAGAAGGAACUCCGGUGGCGAAGGCGGGUCUCUGGGCCGAUACUGACGCUGAGGAGCGAAAGCGUGGGGAGCGAACAGG